GAGAGAAAGAGAGAGAGAGCUGUGGAACUGCAAGUGAUGUGAUUAAUUUCACUCAAGGCCUUUCUUCUCAUUCUAAUGGCUUCGUACAGAUGGAGGUGUUGAGAAUGACUCGCUCUGGCAAAUUGGAGUUCCUCAUAAAUAAGCAAACAGCUAUGAGAAACAAGAGAACAUGAAGGAGAAGGAGCACAUCAUUGCAACAGACAGACAGACCGAGUGGCGGCAGCACUCGCGCUACGCUCCUCUCUGUAGCUAGCCUGGGGGUCUUAUGGGUGUCAUCCCUAUGUUCCCCGGGUCCUAUAUGUUCCCCGCUCGGGGUUAGGGUUAGGUUCCUAUGUUCCCCGGUCCCAUACAAAGUGGGGAACAUAGGACCCGGGGAACAUAUGUAUGCUCCCGUCUUAUGCUAACAUACUAAUGAGGAGCAGUUAGAAGAAGCUGUAACCACCAACCUUCCAACCCUCCCUAAAAGGGAGCAGCCUGGUCUCUCGAGUAACAAGCAGCUUCCUCUAUAGGGGCCCCAGCAGAUGAUGCACAGCCUGCCAGGCUGGUCUUCAAGCACCUUUAUGAACCCAAUAAGGACCAAAAGGAGAGGAGAUAACCUCCUCAACAUCAACACAACACUCCAUAUACAUGUACUGUAUGGAUCAUUGUUGUUAUUUAUACAUGUAUGGGUCACUGUUGUUAUUUAUACAUGUACAGUAUGGGUCAAUGUUGUUAUAUAUACAUGUAUGGGUCACUGUUGUUAUUUAUCUAUAUGGUUGGUGCCACGGGACCUGUUCAAAAGCACAACAUGCGGUCAUCAUGUUUCCUACAGGUUUCCUACAGGGGCUUGGUCUUGGCAUGUCUACAGUGCCGGAGGAGCUCUUUUUGUUCUGCCUUUGGGGGAGAAAUGAAGCCCGUGUCUGAGCCUCAGGCAGGAAAGAGAGAAUGCACCAGUGGAAGAAGGAGGAGAGAAGGAAAGAGAGAAUGCACCAGUGGAAGAAGG